UACGUAGGGAGCGAGCGUUGUCCGGAAUUACUGGGUGUAAAGGGUGCGUAGGCGGUAAGACAAGUCAGACGUGAAAGGCAUAGGCUUAACCUGUGGACUGCGUUUGAAACUGUAUUACUUGAGUGAAGUAGAGGCAAGCGGAAUUCCCAGUGUAGCGGUGAAAUGCGUAGAGAUUGGGAGGAACACCAGUGGCGAAGGCGGCUUGCUGGGCUUUAACUGACGCUGAGGCACGAAAGUAUGGGGAG
rnacentral:rRNA from 1 species